GAGGGCAUAGCCCAGUUGUAGAGUGCGUGCUUAGCAUGCACAAGAUACUGGGUUCAAUCCCUAGUAUCUCCA
rnacentral:tRNA from 1 species